rnacentral:rRNA from 1 species
AGGAUGAACGCUGGCGGCGUGCCUAACACAUGCAAGUCGAACGUCCUGUCUCGCAAGAGGCAGGGAGUGGCGGACGGGUGAGUACCACGUGGGUCAUCUACCGUGAGGUGAGGAAUACCGGCGAGAAAUCGCCGACAAGACCGCAUAGGCUCGAUGCAAGUCGAGCAAAGCUCUUUCGAGAGAGGGAGCGCCACACGAGGAGCCUGCGCCCGAUUAGCUAGCUGGUGGAGUAAUGGUUCACCAGGGCGACGAUCGGUAGCUGGUCUGAGAGGACGAUCAGCCACACUGGGAUUGAGAACGGCCCAGACUCCUACGGGGGGCAGCAGUGAGGAAUUUUCGCAAUGGGGGCAACCCUGAACGAGCAACGCCGCGUGCAGGAAGAAGGUUUCGGAUCGUAAACUGCUUUUCUCGGGGAAGAGAACGGACGGUACCCGAGGAAUCAGCCCCGGCUAACUACGUGCCAGCAGCCGC